CAAUAGCGUAUAUUUAAGUUGCUGCAGUUAAAAAGCUCGUAGUUGGAUUUCGGGUGGGAAUGGCCGGUCCGCCGUUUCGGUGUGCACUUGCUACGCCCACCUUGCUGCCGGGGACGUGCUCUUGAGUUCACGCUCGGGACACGGAGUCGGCGAGGUUACUUUGAGUAAAUUAGAGUGUUCAAAGCAGGCCUACGCUCUGAAUACAUUAGCAUGGAAUAACACGAUAGGACUCUGGCCUAUCUUGUUGGUCUGUAGGACCGGAGUAAUGAUUAAGAGGGACAGUCGGGGGCAUUCGUAUUUCAUUGUCAGAGGUGAAAUUCUCGGAUUUAUGAAAGACGAACUACUGCGAUAGCAUUUGCCAAGGAUGUUUUCAUUAA
rnacentral:rRNA from 1 species